GUAAGUAGAGAUAGAACGAAAGGGAAUGGCCUGCAGUUGUGCUAGAGGAGGCUCAGGUUGGAUAUUAGGAAAAAUUUCUUCUCUGAAAGAGUGGUCAGGCAUUGGAAUGGGCUGCCCAGGGAGGUGGUGGAGUCACUGUCCCUGGAGAUGUUCAAGAAACAUUUAGAUGUUGGACAUGGUUUAGUGGGGCAAUAUUGGUGGUAGGUGGAAGGUUAGACUGGAUGAUCUUAGAGGUCUUUUCAAUCAUGGUGAUUCUGUGAUUCAGAGACUCUGGGGGAUACAAAACUAAGUAAAGAUUUAUCCUGAAAGCUGCAAGGAAGGGAGAAGCCCAUGAAAUAUCAAGUCCACACUAACAAGCAAGAAGAAGAAAUGUUGGGAAGACUAGGGAAAAGAAACCUGAAGGAGGUGGCAAGCAAGACAUCAAAACAAAUAGCAACCAGCACUUAGAGAAAAGGGUAAGAAGGAAAAACAUAAUGUCUCUGGAGAAGGAGAAAGAGCUGAGGAGUGGAUUUCUGGAAUAUUUUGAAGAAAAGAAAAAGGUACCUAGCAGGCUGAAAUAUGAAGUGUGUUCUCCGCACAGAGAAGCAAACUGGACUGAGCAGGCAUGUCCUCAGUUGUUCUCAGCACUUAGUCCUCCACCCCAGGGGACUUUGCGCUGGAGUCCACAGAAACUCUUACAGAUGCAGAGAGGAAAAUAUGACUUUCCACUGAAGACAACUCACUCAGUGCCUCCCCAGAAAGCCUUGGAAGACUUCCAGGCUAACCGGGGGACAGAUUGGCAGCCCAGAGCUGGAAAUCCUUUACUUAUCCCCAGAACAAUUACAAUGCAGACAGCAGCAAUGAAAGCUUCCCCAGUCCGCCUGGAAGGCCCGGAACAAGGAUGAAGGCAAGCCUUCAUGGGCUUGCUGCUAGACUGCUAUUAAAGAUACCAAUUAGUGCCAAAUUGCAUUUUGUGAUGGAGGAGGCACCGUUCCACCAGGGCAGGACUGUGACUACAACACCUUUACUACUCAUCUGGCUGAAGCUUUUGGUCCUUAAUGACACAGCCUGGAUUGCUAUCUACAGUCUUUCUGGUCUGACUCAGUACAGCACUGAAUCUUUGGGAAACUCCAUGCUGUGCCAUGCCAUGCUGUGCCGGGCUGUGCCACACCAUGCCAUGCCAUGCUAUGCCAAGGAGAGUCCUGCAAAUCAAGAACUGCAUGGGAGUGAAGUUGCUGUCACCAAACCAACCCUCAGAGCCACUCUCCGUGCUGUCGCUGUCCCUUUGUCUAACAAAGUCGGCAGGAAAAGGAAUAAAAAAUAACAGAAAUCCUCUAUUGUUGUGUUCUGUCCUUAGGUGUUUGCACCCUAAAUUCCUGUGUGCCACCAAAGGCAUUACUACACCAGGCAAAAGAAAUACCAAGAUUUCUUCUGAGGCUGAAGAGCCAGAGCUUUUUCAUUUUUUUCUGCAGUUCCUACAAGUUCCACAUUUCCAGUUCUACGGAGCGAAGUGGGUAAUUGAAUGGGCUGCUUAAGAUGGAUUGAGGUAGCGGUAAGAUCUCCAUACAGUGAACUGCAUAAAGAUACCAUAUGCAAACAGAGCUGUUUGUGUCUGAUGAACUUCAUCCUGCACAGAUGCACCUCAGGGCAACCCUGUCCAGCCUGGCCCCGUCUAAGGAGCAAAGGUACCAGCCUGACAAACCUUGGCUGUUCCCAAAAUCCUUGAAGCAGCAUUUCAGUCCCUGAGUGGAUUCUUUUGCCUUCACAGUGCAAGGACCUUCAUAAUGUUGUUUACUCACUCUCAAGAUUUCCUCCAGGAGUAAGCAUGUUUUGGGGGUGACAGAGAGGAAUAGAUGGUUAGAGGCUUUCCUAUGGGUAAGUUCAUAUCUGCACAGAAGGGAGAUAAGUAAUGAAACAUCAAAGAAACAACAUGAUAAAACACUGUCAUAAGAAAGAAAUCAAAUUCUCCUUUCCCCCAUUCCCCUUUGAGCCACAAAAAGAACUGGCACAGAAAUCCUGACAUGAUCCCUUUCCCUGUCUGGAGGAAGAUGGCUUUGCCUGCCAACCCAACAUGUGAGGGAGGCUGUGACACUAGCAUUGUCCAGAGGAGAGGAAGACCCUACCCUGACACAGACUCAAUACCUGAACUGAAGUGAUCCAUUGGCUCUCCCAGAAGAGACAAAAACUAAUGUGGUUGGUGUAAGCCAAUCUCCAGAUCUUAUUGCAGAUCUGGCUGUAGUACAACCCGGACUCAACCAGCCUGGAGAAGAUCUGUUCUUUUCCAAAUAUCACCAGAAUUCUGCUUCCUAACACUAAGAUUUCUUGCUGAAAAGAAAAGAAAAGAAAAAAAAAUUAGAAGAGACUAAUCAAAGAGCUGUAUUUCAAAAGAGAACACAAGAAUGCUGAAAUUUAAGGCAAAUAUUUUAUCUGUCCAAUUGGUUAGAGAUUACACGGACAAAUUUAUAGGCAUUAAAUUGGACACCAGAGAGCUUCCAUAUUGUUCUGUAAAUGAAUGUGUUGCAGAAGUAGUAAUAUUAAAUGCAACAGAGGCAAAGUUGUGUUAAAAAAACACAUGUUCUAUAUCCUAUGCUGUGAUCAGCUGGGAAGACAGGCAAAUUACAGCUGAAAAGAUGAAGGAUUUUCCACAUUUGGGUAAGAUUCACUUCAAUUUUACACAUGAGCCAGUGAUGGCCCUCUUAGCAGCACAGUGCCACAGGACAAUGUUUUAAAGCAUCACUUAAGAUGACUCAGGGCACUGGCCUAGGAUGAAGGAAUGGCACCUACAGAUGUCCAAGAACCAGUGUGUAGAGCACUUGUAGCCUUCCUACAAGGGAUUCUGUCCAAAUACUAACGAGACCCAACCUCACUUAGCUGAUAAGAUUUGACAAGGCCACCUCAGACUGAGAUGCCAUGGCUACAGGCAGCAGUGUGUGUAGUAUUGCUUACCACGCUUAGAUAGUAGAGACAGGCUGCAAAUGACAAUGUGAGAGAGAAGAGAACCUAAAAGAGUCAAGGUUGUGAAGGAGAGAAGAGGUAGAACUAAAAAGAGUUUCUGGAAUGGGGGUUAUGUGUUGGUGCAGGGGCUGAAAACAUUCCUCAGCUCCUCUAAUUUGACUUCUUUGAAAAGACUGAAUGAAUUUCAGAGCAGAAACAAUGUUCCUAUAACCAUUGCUUCCAGGAUAGAUUUACAGCAUUAACCCACUGGGACAGAUUCAGUGUUGGAGUGAUUGAACGUAACCCUACUGAAGUUAAUGGACUUGUGCAUGUUUUAUCAAAGAUGAAUAUAUACUAUAUAGGGAAGGAAAGUGGGAUUUAACCUGCAAAUUACCUGUUCUAGAGAUUAACAACAAAAUGUAUGAUGAAAAGACAAGCAAGAAUUUGGGGUUGUAUUUUUUUUUUUUUUUUAAGUACAUAAUUCUAAACUCAUCCAGAUUGCCUACUUUCCCUGUGUUCCUAAUCACCCCAAACCUUCCCCAGUAGCUAACACUGCGAAGAGUUGUAUUCAGUAAUCAUAUUAUUGUAACAACUGGAGAUCUUAAGAAGAUCUUGCUACAGUCUGUGCUCUAUAAACACAAAAUCAUGCCUAAUCCCUUGUGUUUGGAAGCAGGAUCUGGGGGGUAUCUAGAAUCAUAGAAUAAGAAGAACCUCUUCCACUUAUUUUUCUGUGGACAUGGUGGUCAAUUAUUUCUGCAGAAGUUCACAGUUGGAGUCAAGAUUUCACACAGUGGGAAAGAUGUCCAAGGGGCAAUAACUAGGACACAUACCUAGCUACAGAACAGUCAAUUUUAGGGAGACUUAAAUAUUUGCACCUCAACUAACAAAAUAUCAAAUUAAAAUGAUGAACAGAGAAAAUGAGGGGAACAGGACAAAUGAGGGGACUGUCUACUGUAUCUUCGUUGAUGUUGAUAGGGUAAUAAAUCAACAGGAGACAAGAUUGAUAGAGGAAUAAAUAAUUACUGCUUGUAUAUUAAGUCUUACAUUCUGCUCUGUAAGUAUGUAAGUACUAUAAGUGACUUAGAUGAAAGUAGCUGUCAUUAAAUUAUAUUAUAUUAUUAAGCCUGUACUAGUUAAUACUACCAAUGUCGUUGAUUAGUAAUUUGGAAGUAUUAUCUGAAGCACCUUGGUUUUUGAAUGAUGUGGCUGGAUAGUGUAGCACCAGCAGGUGCCCCAGGAAUUUUUCUCUUGGAGGAACAUUUUGUAAAAUGAUCGUGGGCUCUGCUUGCUAAGACACAAGGUGAUGAUGGUCAUAUACUCACUCCAUGGUGGAAUGAGUUUAUAUCUCCACUUGCAAUACAAACUUAUUCUCAGAGCUUAUAUGGAAAGUUAAAAACAGGAAUUAAAUAAAUUAGUUUUAAAUCCUACCUUAACAAAAGCAUCAGACCAACUGCAAGGUCUUCCCCACAAAAGUCUCUUACACCACUGUCAGUAGGUGGGUUUUCAGGCUGAUGUCAGCUGGAUUGCACUCUGUGUAGGUAAGUAUAAGUAGGUAGGUCUAUGCAACACUUCCCCCUCACCCUUUCCUCCUUCUCCUCUUCCAAGGUGGCAUUUCAGAGGCAUGCCAAGAAAGGGCAACCCCAGAGGGACUGUCAAAAAACAGCACAACCCAGAGCAGCCCCGAGGCUGUUCUGAAUUGCACCAGGGGUUAAGCCUGCCUCCAGCCAGCCUCAGGAUUUGGGGUGUACAUACAUUGUGGCACAGCCCACUAUCUCCCCACUCCUGGGGAAACUGGCUGGUAUUCAAGGGCAUCUGAGAGUGAAUUGCACAGAACUACUCUGGAUUCAGAGUGGUGUAGUGGGGAGCAAAGACUAGUCCUUUAGCACUGCUUUGCCCAGAAGAAGAUAAUAAAAUCACAGAAUAUCCCCAGUUUGAAGGGGUUCAUAAUGAUCAUUGAGUCCAACUCCUUGCUCCCCACAGGACCAUCCAAAAGUCAAACCACAUGCUCUGAAUCUCAGCCACCAAAACUGUGUCAGAAGAGCCACAUUUUUUUUUAAUGCAGGUAUGGCCUGAACUCAAAUCUGCACUGUGCGGAACUAAUUGUCUGUUUAAAGUAUUCACCAUGUCAGCCCAUGCUAAAUGCCCAGGACAAGUACAACAGGGAAAAGCAGUGCAUUUUCAAAUGGACAUUUACUGUUGUAGGAUGUAUCCUUUUCUGUCCAGGUCUGGGAAGCCUCUAACACUGGUUAAUUAUCUCCAAGAUGAAGGGCUUAAUUGGGAAUGUCACAAGCUAAACUUUCUUCUCUUUGAAGAGCUGUCUACCUCACAUGGUUCUGAGAGAAAUGCUAGACAGCAAAUUCAGUUCAGUUUUCAUUGUUUCUUUCCUGUUCCAUAAAAAUGCAACCAUGCAGGGAAACACUAUUGAAUAUGUCCUCUGUGCUUCCAACCACAUACCCACUGCUUUUGUGAUGACACCCAGACACAAGAGAGAGAAUGAUGAUGAAGGUCAAACGUGGAGAGGGAAAACUCUAAACAAUAAUGAAUGAUUUAUGGCAUAGGAGAAUCUUAUCUGGGUCACACUUCUGAAGGGUCCCAUUUCUCAACUCUUCUAAUUCUUGAAUUAAUUAACUUCUCACACCCAUUACUUUGUUUCUGUUUUCCAGUGUAGCUCAGGAUGCCCAGGUGACAGGUUGAGUGAUGCACUUUGGAGCAGCGAUUCUUCUUGCACUUUGUGAAAGAGCUUUUGCCAGUCAGCCUUGUCUGCAGUGACAGGAGACAGAGACACUCCUUGCUGGUUCUUUCUCAGCCUUCCUCUUGCUCUGUAUAUCCAGACCUCUUCCACAUCUUACUCUAUGGUCACUGCCCAGACUUCACUUGUGUGGUCAACAGAGUUGGAAAUCUUCCUUUCAAGUGUGCUCAUCUGAAACAGAUUUAAAGUAUUUGUACACCCUCCAGGUACGUGUGAUUGCACAGGGCAACUGACUCUUUCCAAAGAAGAAACUCCUUGAACAUAUUCUUAUUAUCUCUGAUGUUCCCAUUGCUUGCAUGGACCUCAUCCAUCUUCUUGCACUGACUCUCCGAUUCUGCCACUGAAAGAGCAGUACAAGGUCAGAGCUUGACAGAGGAUCUUGACAGUUAUCUUCUUACAGUCUGACCAUCUAUGGUUUGUCCACAGAUCCUUCAAAAUACCCCCUGAAGAUCAUCUUAAUUGUGUCUUCUGCAUGGGCAGCCACUGAACUCUUUGAGGACUUCACGGUGAAGAGUGUAAUCUCAAGUUCAGGAAGUUGCCUAACAGAGUCCCUUGGCUUGAUGA
ensembl:lncRNA